CUAAAGAAAAGAGAAUUUAGAACAUGGCAGCCAGGAGAGGGAAAUCAUGUGGAACAGGGUCCCCCGAGUAGGGACACAUGGACUAGAGAUUUUGCUUCUCCAUUGGCUCCACUGUACACCAGAGCUUGGACUAGAUAACCACAGCCUUUUCAGUUUGAAUAUAAUACCAAGUCCACUAAAAAAAAAGUCCAUCUUCUCCUUUUACACAUUAGGCUCUUGUGUUUGUGCUGUGCACUGUGGAAGUACAGCAUUCAGGAAGAAAAACUAUGUCCUAGCACUGAGCAACUCCGUAGCCUCUGAGGUUAUUUCCCUACCUGCCGAGUGCUUCUCUCUCCCUAGGUCCUCACUCAUGGCAUACUGGAAAGAGUAUAAUAAAAAGAUUGUAAAACACUGUAAAUGUCAAAU
rnacentral:lncRNA from 1 species